AGCGAACGCUGGCGGCAGGCCUAACACAUGCAAGUCGAACGAACCGUUCGGGGUGUGGCGCGGACGACUGUGUAACACGUGGGAAGGUGCCUUGAGGUUCGGAAUAGCUAAGGGACAGGUGUGCUAAUACCGAAUGUGCCCUCGGGGGGUAAGAUUAAUUGACUUUAGAGCGUCCCGCGUCUGAUUAGCUAGUUGGUUAAGGUAAUGGCACACCAAGGCCACGAUCAGUAGCUGGUAUGAGAGGAGGGUCAGCCACAUUGCGACUGAGACACGGCCCAAACUCCUACGGAAGGCAGCAGUGGGGAAUCUUGCGCACUGGGCGAAAGCAUGACGCUGCCAUGCCGCGUGAAUGAUGUAGGUGUUAAGAUUGUGAAAUUCUUUCAACGGUGCCCAUAAUGACGGUACCCGACCAGAAAGCCCCGGCUAACUUCGUG
rnacentral:rRNA from 1 species